CCAUGAGCGUUUUUACCACCCGUCCAUUCUGACGCUAGUAUAUAGUAACACAAUGACCUGCACAAACGGGGAAAAAAAGACAGGCUAAAAUUAUAAUAUUUGCAUAAAAUCAUUGAAUUCUAUACCGCGUAGUACAUUUUAAGGACAACAUCAUAAUGCACAUUACACAACUUCUUGGGGGAACAUAAACAACAAAAAUAGCCCUUACUCGUUUUGCAUCAUUGUAAUACUAUGGCUAUUUAUCCUUGGUGUCUUGGUGAUGCUCCUAAGCAUCAACACGUCACCUCACGCAGAGGUCUGACACUGAAACAAUGCACUGUAAUUAUACUUAAUCCCAUGACAGACGCAACACAAUUUUCUUAAAAACAAUGAGAAGUUGGGGAUUGGGGGUUCCAAUUUCCAACUCUCACGUGGGAGAGAAAAGUCCAUGAUAAAUUGUUCCAAAUAUAACAAAAAACAUAGAUACUGUAUAGAAAGUUAUGUAAACCAGCAAAUAUUCUUUUAUCAGAUUGGGAUGAAGUGCCAAAAACAAAGAUACUUUAGAGAAAGUUAAUCAUGCACUUAAGCAAAUACACUAACCGCAUAGGUGUCCCUUUGGAUUAUUGAAAUUGUGUUUUAUAAAUCCGUGUACUACAUGAAAGAUUUUUUUAAACAAAUAAUUAUCUAUGUGCUCUUUUUUAAAUAACUGAUGUGCACGGGGGUGGCCUGAUCUUUCGGUGAGUUGUGAUAACUACGAUUUAAGAGAAACGUUGACGAUCCGACUACAGGUUGUAUCCAUAGUAGACAUGGUCACAUCAUUAACUAUCCCACACUUCCCGCACAUGGGGCAUGGAAAUUCCUGGGAACCAUCAAAUAUCUCAUUUACCAAAAGGCAAGGUGACAAUUUUAUGCAGACCAUUAAACUUUAAAUGAAUUAAAAGCAUGGAAGAUGUAAUAAUUUGCAGCAUCAACAUACAACGAUAUGUAAUUAGUACCCAAUCAACUUGAUGCCAGCACUAAAAAAACAACUAUGUACAAUGUGCGUACAAGCUCAAACUGAACUUACAUACUAUAAUUACCUAAGAAACUGGUACCCUAAUAUGAUUUUCAGAACUGUUAAGCCUAAGGUUCGGAGUGAUGCAAGCAGUAUUUAUGAAUCUAAGUGUACAGAGGAUUAACAGAUACCACCAAUCUUUCAACAGAAUGUACGGCAGUGAAUUUGAGAGAUCAAGCAGUGAAAAACAGAUAGCAGAUAUCUUAAAGAACAUCAAGAAGUAUUACUAAUUACUUGAGACAAAUUUACGACAUGUGUACUUCAACAACUUUGGUUUGUCACAGUUUCAGAUCAAAUCAUCAAAUAAUGAACCUGCCUUAACAACAUCAAAUAACAACAGAUACAAGAUGUUUCAGAAUUAAAGGACAACAGUGCAUCAGAAAAUCCACCGUACCUCGCCAUAUUUGGAGAAAACCCCAGCAGCUUUUAUGUAGAUCAGAUUCUAUCUAUCUGAACAACAACAGAAAUAUGUCAGAGUACAAAAUUACAAAAACUGUAUUAUAAUACUGAUGAUGAACAAUCAUAUUACCUGUUUUAUCACCAUGUCUCUAAGAUUGCACCAGCAGAUAACACUAGUUGAUGAUGAACAAGAACUAUUUUGGGAACUGUUGAUCACCUGAGGUACUGCUGU
rnacentral:lncRNA from 1 species